UACCGAGGUCUCAAGCGUUGUUCGGAUUCAUUGGGCGUAAAGGGUGUGUAGGUGGCGCGCUAAGUCGGGUGUGAAAUUUCGGAGCUUAACUCCGAAACUGCAUUCGAUACUGGCGUGCUUGAGGACUGGAGAGGAGACUGGAAUUCAUGGUGUAGCAGUGAAAUGCGUAGAGAUCAUGAGGAAGACCAGUGGCGAAGGCGGGUCUCUGGACAGUUCCUGACACUGAGACACGAAGGCCAGGGGAGCAAACGGG
rnacentral:rRNA from 1 species